rnacentral:rRNA from 1 species
AAUAGAUACCCAGGUAGUCCAUGCCGUAAACGUUGGGCGCUAGAUGUGGGGACCAUUCCACGGUUUCCGUGUCGCAGCUAACGCAUUAAGCGCCCCGCCUGGGGAGUACGGCCGCAAGGCUAAAACUCAAAGGAAUUGACGGGGGCCCGCACAAGCGGCGGAGCAUGCGGAUUAAUUCGAUGCAACGCGAAGAACCUUACCAAGGCUUGACAUAUACGAGAACGCUCUAGAAAUAGAGAACUCUUUGGACACUCGUAUACAGGUGGUGCAUGGUUGUCGUCAGCUCGUGUCGUGAGAUGUUGGGUUAAGUCCCGCAACGAGCGCAACCCUCGUUCUAUGUUGCCAGCGGUUCGGCCGGGAACUCAUAGGAGACUGCCGGGGUCAACUCGGAGGAAGGUGGGGAUGACGUCAAAUCAUCAUGCCCCUUAUGUCUUGGGCUUCACGCAUGCUACAAUGGCUGGUACAAAGGGCUGCAAUACCGUAAGGUGGAGCGAAUCCCAAAAAGCCGGUCUCAGUUCGGA